rnacentral:rRNA from 1 species
GUUCGGUCAAACCAGGUGGACGCUAGCGGGAUGCCUUACACAGCCACAGUCGAACGGCAGCACGGACUUCGGUCUGGUGGCGAGUGGCGAACAGGUGAGUAAUGUAUCGAACGUGCCCCGAUACAGCGAGGGAUAACUGCACGAAAGCGUAGCUAAUACACAUGCGCCUGCGGGGAAAGCAGGGGAUCGCAAGACCUUGCACUAUUGGAGCAACCGAUAUCGGAUUAGCUAGUUGGUGGGGUAACGGCUCACCAAGGCGACGAUCCGGACAACUGGUUGAAGGACGACCAAUACACUGGACUGAGACACGACCCAGACUCCUACGAGAGAGGCAGCAGUGGGGAAUUUUGGACAAUGGGGGAAACCGGUCCAGCCAUCCACGUGUGCGAUGAAGGCGCUAAGUUUAUAAAGCGCACGGCAGAAAGAAACGUCGUGGGUUAAUACCCGAUGACAGUACCUGCGGGAAUAGCACAGCUAACUGCAUGCUGGCAAUGCGGUAAUACGUAGGGUACGGCGUUAAUCGAAGGUCUGGGCAUAAAGCGUGCGCAGGCGGUUGAAAGAAAAGAUGGCAAAUCUGAAAUAACUGGAACUGCAUUUUUAACUACCGGGCUAGAGUGUGUCAGAGGAGGUGGAAUUUCGCGUGUAGUGAAAUGCGUAGAUAUGCGGAGGAACACCGAUAGCGAAAACAGCCUGCAAGGGACAACACUGACGCUCCAUGCACGAAAGCGUGGGAGCAAACAGGAUUAGAUACCUGGUAGUCCACGCCCUAAACGAUGUCAACUGGCAUUUGGGGCGCUGGGCGCCAGUGUUUCAGCUAACGCGUGAAGUUGACCGCCUGGGGGAAUACGGUCGCAAGAUUAAAAACUCAAGGAAUUGACGGGGACCGCACAGCAGUGGAUGAUGUGGAUUAAUUCGAUGCAACGCGAAAAACCUUACCUACCUUAAUAUCUGGAAUGCCGAAGGGUGGCAGUGCUCGCAAGAGAACCGGAACACAGGUGCUGCAUGGCUGUCGUCAGCUCAUGUCUGUGAGAUGUUGGGUUAAGUCCCGCAACGAGCGCAACCCUUGUCGUGGAUUGCACGAAGGGCACUCUAAUGAGACUGCCGGUGACAAACCGGAGGAAGGUGGGGAUGACGUCAAGUCCUCGCCAACCCUUAUGGGUAGGGCUUCACACGUCAUACAAUGGUCGGGACAGAGGGUCGCCAACCCGCGAGGGGAGCCAAUCCCAGAAACCCGUCGAGUCCAGAUCGCAGUCUACGGCUCGGCUGCGUGAAGUCAGAAUCCUUCAGUAAUCGCGGAUCAGCAUGUCGCGGUGAAUACGAUCCCGGGUCUUGUACACACCGCCCGUCACACCAUGGGAGUGGGUUUUACCAGAAGUAGUUAGCCUAAUAACCGCAAGGGGCGAUUGCCACGGUAAGUUCAUAGGCUGGGGUGAAGUCGUAACUAAGGUGUU